rnacentral:rRNA from 1 species
GACGAACGCUGGCGGCGUGCUUAACACAUGCAAGUCGAACGGAAAGGCCCUGCUUUUGUGGGGUGCUCGAGUGGCGAACGGGUGAGUAACACGUGAGUAACCUGCCCUUGACUUUGGGAUAACUUCAGGAAACUGGGGCUAAUACCGGAUAGGAGCUCCUGCUGCAUGGUGGGGGUUGGAAAGUUUCGGCGGUUGGGGAUGGACUCGCGGCUUAUCAGCUUGUUGGUGGGGUAGUGGCUUACCAAGGCUUUGACGGGUAGCCGGCCUGAGAGGGUGACCGGCCACAUUGGGACUGAGAUACGGCCCAGACUCCUACGGGAGGCAGAAGUGGGGAAUAUUGCACAAUGGGCGGAAGCCUGAUGCAGCAACGCCGCGUGCGGGAUGACGGCCUUCGGGUUGUAAACCGCUUUCGCCUGUGACGAAGCGUGAGUGACGGUAAUGGGUAAAGAAGCACCGGCUAACUACGUG